AUUGAACGCUGGCGGCAUGCCUUACACAUGCAAGUCGAACGGCAGCGCGGGAGCAAUCCUGGCGGCGAGUGGCGAACGGGUGAGUAAUAUAUCGGAACGUGCCCAGUAGUGGGGGAUAGCCCGGCGAAAGCCGGAUUAAUACCGCAUACGACCUGAGGGUGAAAGCGGGGGAUCGCAAGACCUCGCGCUAUUGGAGCGGCCGAUAUCAGAUUAGCUAGUUGGUGGGGUAAAGGCCUACCAAGGCAACGAUCUGUAGUUGGUCUGAGAGGACGACCAGCCACACUGGGACUGAGACACGGCCCAGACUCCUACGGGAGGCAGCAGUGGGGAAUUUUGGACAAUGGGCGCAAGCCUGAUCCAGCAAUACCGCGUGUGUGAAGAAGGCCUGCGGGUUGUAAAGCACUUUCAGUUGGGAAGAUAAUGACGUUACCAACAGAAGAAGCACCGGCUAACUCCGUGCCAGCAGCCG
rnacentral:rRNA from 1 species